CCCCUUAACUAAAUUCUAUUUUUAUUUCACCCCCUCUCCUUAACUUUAUUUCUUUCAAUUUAUGACCCAUUUAACUUUUCAAAAAUUCCAAAUCUGAAUAAUAAUUUUAGUUAUUCUCCAGUAAAUAAGAUACAUAAUAAUAAGCGACUAUUAUUAUUGGAGACAGUACGAAUAAAAAGAAUGAUAAACUUUAAAUACUGUUUCUUUAGUUUCACACUUUCUCACUUUAGUACCCUGUAGUUUUAAUUUUCUCUUUUCAUCAGCUCCUCCGUUAAUAUAUCGUUAAAUUAUAUACAAAAAACUCCAGAUAUCCCACUUAAGUUUAUCGAAUAUUUAUUUUAAUAUCUUUCGGUUUUAACUUUGUCAUUGAUUUAACAAAAAUAAUUAGUGGGAGAAUAAUAAAAAAAAUAAAAUAAAAUUACGAGAUACUAAAUUGAUACAUUUUAAACCACGGAGUACUAAAAUGAAAAAAAAAAGUGCGAAAUAUUUAAAA
rnacentral:lncRNA from 1 species